UGGGACAGGUUCAUGGUCGCUCAAGGGA
rnacentral:piRNA from 2 species